AUUGAACGCUGGCGGCAGGCUUAACACAUGCAAGUCGAGCGAGCGGCGGACGUGUGAGUAAUGUCGGGGAAACUGCCUGGUGGAGGGGGAUAACUACUGGAAAAUGUCGCUAAUCCCGCAUACUAUCAUAUGUGCAGAUAUGGGAUUCGCUAGUAGGGGGGGUAAUGGCGCACCUAGGCGACGAUCCCUAGCUGGUCUGAGAGGAUGACCAGCCACACUGGAACUGAGACACGGUCCAGACUCCUACGGGAGGCAGCAGUGGGGAAUAUUGCACAAUGGGCGCAAGCCUGAUGCAGCCAUGCCGCGUGUGUGAAGAAGGCCUUCGGGUUGUAAAGCACUUUCAGCGAGGAGGCGUUACUCGCAGAAGAAGCACCGGCUAACUCCGUGCCAGCAGCCGCGGUAAUUC
rnacentral:rRNA from 1 species